CAGAAGAGCUCCAAAUCCUAGGAGACAAACCAAAUCCUGCGACAAUGAAAACGAACCGAUCUGAAACGAGACUUUCAGGUUCUUCCUCAAAUACGUUGACGGAAACAAUAUGGAAGUAUCCUUAAUGGAUUCAGAUUACAUAUCUGAUGAUACUCUCUCCACUCAGACGAUAAAGAUACCUAAUUUAAAUGAUUUGAUGGAACGCAGACAAGAGAUGACCAUUAACUUCAAUGAGAGUUUGAAAAUUGACAUAGAGAUGUGGGCAGAAUCUGACAA